rnacentral:rRNA from 1 species
UUCGGGAAACCGGAGCUAAUACCGGAUAAUAUAUUGAACCGCAUGGUUCAAUAGUGAAAGACGGUUUUGCUGUCACUUAUAGAUGGAUCCGCGCCGCAUUAGCUAGUUGGUAGGUAACGGCUUACCAAGGCAACGAUGCGUAGCCGACCUGAGAGGGUGAUCGGCCACACUGGAACUGAGACACGGUCCAG